rnacentral:rRNA from 1 species
GUGGCGAGUGGCGAACGGGUGAGUAAUACAUCGGAACAUGUCCAGUAGUGGGGGAUAGCCCGGCGAAAGCCGGAUUAAUACCGCAUACGAUCCAUGGAUGAAAGCGGGGGACCUUCGGGCCUCGCGCUAUUGGGGUGGCCGAUGGCGGAUUAGCUUGUUGGUGGGGUAAAGGCUCACCAAGGCGACGAUCCGUAGCUGGUCUGAGAGGACGACCAGCCACACUGGGACUGAGACACGGCCCAGACUCCUACGGGAGGCAGCAGUGGGGAAUUUUGGACAAUGGGGGCAACCCUGAUCCAGCAAUGCCGCGUGUGUGAAGAAGGCCUUCGGGUUGUAAAGCACUUUUGUCCGGAAAGAAAACCUUUGGGCUAAUACCCCGGGGGGAUGACGGUACCGGAAGAAUAAGCACCGGCUAACUACGUGCCAGCAGCCGCGGUAAUACGUAGGGUGCGAGCGUUAAUCGGAAUUACUGGGCGUAAAGCGUGCGCAGGCGGUGAUGUAAGACCGAUGUGAAAUCCCCGGGCUUAACCUGGGAACUGCAUUGGUGACUGCAUCGCUGGAGUAUGGCAGAGGGGGGGUGGAAUUCCACGUGUAGCAGUGAAAUGCGUAGAGAUGGUGGAGCAACACCGAUGGGCGAAGCAGCCCCCUGGGUCAAUACUGACGCUCAUGCACGAAAGGCGUGGGGAGCAAACAGGAUUAGAAUACCCUGGCUAGUCCACGCCCUAACGAUGUCAACUGGCUUGUCGGUCCCUUCAUGCCUUGCUAACGUAGCUACGCGUGAAGCUGAACGCCUGGGGGAGUUACGGAUCGCAAGACUCAAACUCAAAGCAAUGAACUG